UUCCCUUUCUUGGCCUGCACGGUUUGUGCGUCAGCCAUGUACAAAAGUUAGGAAGUGCAUUAUUAGGUUUAUUGGAUAGGAAAUUAGUACGGAAUUUGGAAAAGGAUCAGAUAAAUUUUAUUAUAAAUAAAAGGACAGAAAUAGAAGUAGGAAAAGGAAUAUUUAUGGAUAAAAGCGAGGAAAUAAAAGCGGAACGGUCAUGUCUAUUACAGGCAAAAAAUAUAUGAUUAAAACCCCCAACGUCAUUGCCACACUCAAAUGUGUCGUCAGGCAAAAGGUUUAAGCCUUGCCAAAUGCAAGGGUAUGCAUGCAUGGCCCAGCCUCAUACGUAUAAGGGUCGAAGUAAUAUCUUUACCAAGCGUCAAAGUAGAAGUGGAAGGGUGAGACUUCGUGCUAUCCGAACAGUCUGUA